rnacentral:rRNA from 1 species
CCGCAUGGUGUGUUGGGAAAGCCUUUGCGGCAUGGGAUGGGGUCGCGUCCUAUCAGCUUGAUGGCGGGGUAACGGCCCACCAUGGCUUCGACGGGUAGCCGGCCUGAGAGGGCGACCGGCCACAUUGGGACUGAGAUACGGCCCAGACUCCUACGGGAGGCAGCAGUGGGGAAUAUUGCACAAUGGGCGCAAGCCUGAUGCAGCGACGCCGCGUGAGGGAUGGAGGCCUUCGGGUUGUAAACCUCUUUUGUUAGGGAGCAAGGCAUUUUGUGUUGAGUGUACCUUUCGAAUAAGCACCGGCUAACUACGUGCCAGCAGCCGCGGUAAUACGUAGGGUGCAAGCGUUAUCCGGAAUUAUUGGGCGUAAAGGGCUCGUAGGCGGUUCGUCGCGUCCGGUGUGAAAGUCCAUCGCUUAACGGUGGAUCCGCGCCGGGUACGGGCGGGCUUGAGUGCGGUAGGGGAGACUGGAAUUCCCGGUGUAACGGUGGAAUGUGUAGAUAUC